UACGUAGGGGGCAAGCGUUGUCCGGAUUUAUUGGGCGUAAAGAGCGUGUAGGCGGCUUGGAAGGUCCGUUGUGAAAACUCGAGGCUCAACCUCGAGACGCCGAUGGAAACCACCUAGCUAGAGUCCGGAAGAGGAGAGUGGAAUUCCUGGUGUAGCGGUGAAAUGCGCAGAUAUCAGGAAGAACACCCGUGGCUAAGGCGGCUCUCUAGUACGGUACUGACGCUGAGACGCGAAAGCGUGGGGAGCGAACAGG
rnacentral:rRNA from 1 species